CGAACGAGAGAGAAGGAGCUUGCUUCUUCGAUCGAGUGGCGAACGGGUGAGUAACGCGUGAGGAACCUGCCUCAAAGAGGGGGACAACAGUUGGAAACGACUGCUAAUACCGCAUAAGCCCACGGGUCGGCAUCGACCUGAGGGAAAAGGAGCAAUCCGCUUUGAGAUGGCCUCGCGUCCGAUUAGCUAGUUGGUGAGGUAACGGCCCACCAAGGCGACGAUCGGUAGCCGGACUGAGAGGUUGAACGGCCACAUUGGGACUGAGACACGGCCCAGACUCCUACGGGAGGCAGCAGUGGGGAAUAUUGCACAAUGGGGGAAACCCUGAUGCAGCGACGCCGCGUGGAGGAAGAAGGUCUUCGGAUUGUAAACUCCUGUUGUUGAGGAAGAUAAUGACGGUACUCAACAAGGAAGUGACGGCUAACUACGUGCCAGCAGCCGCGGUAAAACGUAGGUCACAAGCGUUGUCCGGAAUUACUGGGUGUAAAGGGAGCGCAGGCGGGAAGACAAGUUGGAAGUGAAAUCUAUGGGCUUAACCCAUAAACUGCUUUCAAAACUGUUUUUCUUGAGUAG
rnacentral:rRNA from 1 species